rnacentral:rRNA from 1 species
UACGGAGGGUGCAAGCGUUGCUCGGAAUUAUUGGGCGUAAAGGGUAGGUAGGUGGUCUUAUUUGUCUGAGGUGAAAUCCUUGAGCUUAACUCGAGAAGUGCCUCAGAAACGGUGAGACUAGAGUCCUGGAGAGGGUCGUGGAAUUCCCGGUGUAGCGGUGAAAUGCGUAGAGAUCGGGAGGAACACCAGAGGCGAAGGCGGCGACCUGGACAGGUACUGACACUCAACUACGAAAGCGUGGGGAGCAAACAGG